AUUGAACGCUGGCGGCAGGCUUAACACAUGAAAGUCGAACGAGUGGCGGACGGGUGAGUAAGGUCUGGGAAACAGCCUGAUGGAGGGGGAUAACUACUGGAAAAGGUAGCUAAUACUGCAUACCAUCGGAAGUGCCCAGAUGGGAUUAGCUAGUUGGUGGGGUAAAGGCUCACCUAGGCGACGAUCCCUAGCUGGUCUGAGAGGAUGACCGGGCACACUAGAACUGAUACACGGUCCAGUCUCCUACGGGAGGCAGCUGUGGGUAAUGUUGCACCAGUGACGCUGCCCUGAUACAGCCAUGCCGCGUGUAUGAAGGAGGCCUUCGGGUUUUAAAGUACUUUCUGUGGGGUGGCGUUACCCGCAGAAGACGCACCGGCUAACUCCGUGCCAGCAGCCGCGGUAAUAC
rnacentral:rRNA from 1 species